CUACGGGACGCUCCAGUGGGGAAUAUUGCACAAUGGGCGCAAGCCUGAUGCAGCAACGCCGCGUGAAUGAUGAAGGCCUUCGGGUCGUAAAAUUCUGUCCUUAAGGAAGAUAAUGACGGUACUUAAGGAGGAAGCCCCGGCUAACUACGUGCCAGCAGCCGCGGUAAUACGUAGGGGGCUAGCGUUAUCCGGAUUUACUGGGCGUAAAGGGUGCGUAGGUGAUUUUUCAAGUCAGAGGUUAAAGGCUACGGCUCAACCGUAGUAAGCCUUUGAAACUGGAAAACUUGAGUGCAGGAGAGGAAAGUGGAAUUCCCAGUGUAGCGGUGAAAUGCGUAGAUAUUGGGAGGAACACCAGUAGCGAAGGCGGCUUUCUGGACUGUAACUGACACUGAGGCACGAAAGCGUGGGUAGCAAACAGGAUUAGAUACCCCAGUAGUC
rnacentral:rRNA from 1 species